AACGAACGCUGGCGGCAGGCUUAACACAUGCAAGUCGAGCGCGGUCUUUCGGGACUGAGCGGCGGACGGGUGAGUAACGCGUGGGAACGUGCCCUCUUCUUCGGAAUAGCCUCGGGAAACUGGGAGUAAUGCCGAAUACGCCGGGUCAUAGCGAUAUGGCUUGGGAAAGAUUUAUCGGAGGAGGAUCGGCCCGCGUUGGAUUAGGUAGUUGGUGGGGUAACGGCCUACCAAGCCGACGAUCCAUAGCUGGUUUGAGAGGAUGACCAGCCACACUGGGACUGAGACACGGCCCAGACACCUACGGGAGGCUG
rnacentral:rRNA from 1 species